CUGGUAUGAGACUCUUUUGCGUCCCAAUGUGAAACGGCACUAGCACGGUCUGUUCGUUGUUCCUUGUUUUCCCCUCGCCAACGGAAACCGGUUUGGGUGGCAAAAAGAGUCCUCAUCUGAACAUUCACAUAGAUGGCGUUCACAAGGGGACUCUUUUGUCGUUUAUAAUCGGCAAAUUCUCUUUUGGUGUCGCUCUGUCUGUCUCAGCUACUCGAAUCGAGUUUUUCAAACAUUCCUUUUCAAAUUUUGUUUUUUAUUUAUUACAAAACAUUCAUGAAUUAAUUAUAUUUCUUGUUUUAAAUAAAAUGUUACAUGAUAUUCAAACUAAUUCAUUUGCGGUUAAAAAAAAAAAUAUGAAAGCAUCUUAAUAAUUUAUGUAAACAUAAACAAUUAAAAGUAACUCCAUUUUCAUUAGAAUCAAUUUCUAAAUGUAUAUAUUAUUACAUUUAAUACUGCUAAAUGUUAUUACAAAUUUAAAUUAAAUAGUUUUGAGUAUCUUAAUUUUGAAUAUUUUAUUUUUGAGAAAACUCAAAACCUUAAACUAAUGAAUAUAGCCUAAACUGCGUAUCACCGAUUAAGUAGCGCCCCUUGGCACUAACGCACAUGUUCAUCUUUGAACAUAUCUAUAGAAAAUGACGAAGUAACCUAUGCACCAGUUUUCGGUAACCUAUAGAUAACAAUAGCUCUAACCAACCAAACCAUUUUUAGUAACAGAUGUCUGACCAAACAAAUAGCCAAUGUAAAGGACGCUGCUAACCAAAGAGUAACAUAUAGUUUCCAAAAAAAGAGAAGAAAUAAUUACGUUUUUCCCGAAGAACAAAAGUAACCUAUCUGAUAACAAAUGCAUUAAUCAGUGAUAACCUAACGGUAAAAGGUUAACUUACUUUUACCCAUCAUGUAGAAUGUGUGACGCAAUUUUAUGGUAAUAACACACACUGACCAACAUAUUUGGCAUAAAGUCUGUAAAAGUAACGAAAAUCAUUAUAUGAAGUAUAUAAAUAUACACUUUUAUGCACUAAACAAAAUAACCGAAUUUAUCAAUUUUAGGCACAAGGUCUUAAAUAGAGGCCCGUUCUGAACUUUAUUAAGAUAACUCACAUAUUAACCAAUAUACACGUUAUAAAAUAAUACAAGUAUUUUUGGCCAAUAUUUAUAAUCAGUUUAUAUUAAGAAUUAUUUUUCACUCUUUAGUUUGAAGUGCUAUAAAAGAGUGUUUUUGUGGUGUUUCCACUUUCUUCAAGGAUGUGUUUGAGUGAAUUUGUUAUUCAAACGACAGUAUAGAAGGUCAUACUUUCAACUGCAUAGUGUUAUGGGUAUUUUUUUGCAGAAUGGAGAGUUGAAGCUUCUAGUUGCAUAGUUUUACAUUUCUUUAAAUUUUUGCAGUCCCUUUCAAACUGUUGAUUCUUUUGGCAGUACCAGCAGACGAAAUAUAUAAGCAAUUCACAAGCUUUGUCUUAUGUCGUAUUUCAAGAAUCUUAAAUAAUACGACAAUUGUGAGCGCCCCUAAAGGUUGUAUGUCAUAUUGUGUAAUGUUUCUACACUUCACCAGCUUUUAGUGAAAAAUUAAGAAUACAAAAAUGUCCCGAGAAUGUGACAAAAAUAAAAAUUUUCAUGUUUAAAUAGCGGCGUUUUGGUUUUCACUUUUCAUUAACUUAAUUUACUGGAAUAUCGUGGUUUCCUUCCAUAUUAUUAACGAAAUUUAUUAUGAAUUUUAUUUAAUAUUUUAAUUUAAGACACUUAAACGUCAACAAUAAAAAAGAGUAAACAUAUACAGCUGAUAGAAUGGCACACUCAAAAAACAUACCUCGCCUUCCGAAGCAUAUGCCAGUGUACCUCUGCUUAAAAGGUGGAGUGUUACGGUGGAUCUACACUGCGAAUUGUUAUUGCCAACCAACUUUUAUGCCUGUGGCACCUGAGGUUUCCAAUAUUUUUCGAGACAGCAUAUAUUGCCUGUCGAAAUGCCGCGCUAUAGAACAUUGAACAAAAAAGCGAUCGAUAAUUUACUAAACAACCGUUGAUGUAGAUAAUAAGUUUAAUGUGCAUUGGUUUGUAAAACUAUAAAAGGGAAUUAUUUAUUAUUAAAAGAAUAGAUAAUUUUAGUAACGACUAUUCAUCUUAUUUAGUUUAAAAUGUGAGUACUAUAAAAUUGUAUCACGGCGUUUAAAUUAACAUAUUGACGAAAUGACUUUGUUGUUAACAAUUCAUGGUCGAAUGUCAUUAGUUUGUCCCAAAUUUGUCAACCAUUUGCCGGUGUUCCAAUAAAGUUUCUUUGGGUCGGCUUUAAAAUACCGUCCCAGGAUUUCGGGAAUAAAAUGGAUAUGGCCGGAAAGAGGAGGUCCUCCAGAUCAAGAAUAUAUCUAGAUAUAGCCGCGGGCAACUUAUAGUUUUCGAGAUAUAUACGUUUAAAGUUGAAACUUUCAACUAUUUAAAGUACGUAUUUUUUCGAUUUAAAAUGAAUUAUACAUUUACACAUAGCCAAUAAAGUCUGCGUUCACCCGACAUUAUGUUUUAAGUGAAGUAAAAACACAAUGUAAAUAAGUAAUUCAGUUCAAAUUUUCUACAUGUAUUUCUUCUUUAUAUUCUUAAGUUCAAAAUGCAAAAACAAAAAUGUAUAUUCCCUAUUUUAAUUUUUGUGAUAACGGGAUUUUAGUGUAAGAACAAGUAACCAUAGGCACCUUAAGUCUGCGUUCAGUUAGCUUGAAUUGGAAAUACCGUUACUUUUCAUGAAUUUGUUCGAUUUUUUUUGCGUAGAUUCUAUUGUGUUUUAACAUAAUUAGUCGUUUAGAGAGCUCGUGACGCGUUUUAAUAAUAUUUAAAAAAAUGGAAACCA